rnacentral:pre_miRNA from 1 species
AUCAUGUGGGGAUCUUGUUAAAAUGCAGAUUCUGAUUCUACUGGUCUAGGGUGGGGUCUAAGAUUCUGCAUUUCCUACAAGCUCCAAGAUGGUGCUGA